AUCAACGCUGGCGGCGCGCCUAACACAUGCAAGUCGAGCGAGAAAGUGGGGCAACCCAUGAGUAAAGCGGCGUACGGGUGAGUAACACGUGGAUGAUCUACCUUCUGGUGGGGAAUAACCCUGGGAAACCGGGGCUAAUACCGCAUAAGCACGAGAGUGGAAAGCAGCAAUGCGCCGGAAGAGGAGUCCGCGGCCGAUUAGCUAGUUGGCAGGGUAAAAGCCUACCAAGGCAAAGAUCGGUAGCCGGCCUGAGAGGGCACACGGCCACACUGGCACUGAAACACGGGCCAGACUCCUACGGGAGGCAGCAGUGGGGAAUCUUGCACAAUGGGGGAAACCCUGAUGCAGCGACGCCGCGUGAGUGAUGAAGCCCUUCGGGGUGUAAAGCUCUUUCGGACCGGGAAGAUGAUGACGGUACCUGAAGAAGAAGCUGCGGCUAACUACGUGCCAGCAGCCGCGGUAAUACGUAGGCAGCGAGCGUUGUUCGGAGUUACUGGGCGUAAAGGCGUGCGUAGGCGGUUGCCUAAGUCUGGUGUGAAAUCUCCCGGCUCAACCGGGAGGGUGCGGCCGAAACUGGAUUGACUGGAGUGCGGGAGAGGUAAGCUGGAAUUCCCUGGUGUAGCGGUGAAUGCGUAGAUAUCAGGGAGGAACACCUGCGGUGUAGACGGCUUACUGGACCGUAACUGACGCUGAGACACGAAAGCGUGGGUAGCAAACAGGAUUAGAUACCCUGGUAGUCCACGCCCUAAACGAUGCAUACUUUGGUGUGGGCAGUUCAUUCUGUCCGUGCCGGAGCUAACGCGAUAAGUAUGCCGCCUGGGGAGUACAGGUCGCAAGGCUGAAACUCAAAGGAAUUGACGGGGGCCCGCACAAGCGGUGGAGCAUGUGGUUUCAAUUCGACGCAACGCGAAGAACCUUACCUGGGCUCGAACGGCUUCUCAACGGAUGGUGGAAAAUACUCUAUCCCCGCAAGGGAGUUCAGUCGAGGUGCUGCAUGGCUGUCGUCAGCUCGUGUCGUGAGAUGUUGGGUUAAGUCCCGCAACGAGCGCAACCCUUGUCCUGUGUUGCAUGCCGAACAGGCGAACUCGCAGGAGACCGCCAGCGAUAACUGGAGGAAGGUGGGGAUGACGUCAAGUCAUCAUGGCCUUUAUGUCCAGGGCUACACACGUGCUACAAUGGGACGGUACAAAGCCGUUGCAGAACUCGUGAGAGGGAGCCAAUCGCAAAAAACCGUUCUCAGUUCGGAUUGUAGGCUGCAACUCCGCCUGCAUGAAGCUGGAAUCGCUAGUAAUGGUAGAUCAGAACGAUAGCCGUGAAUACGUUCCCGGGCCUUGUACACACCGCCCGUCACAUCACGAAAGUGGGAUUGUACUAGAAGUCUGCGCGCUGACCCGAAAGGGGAGCAGCGGCCCAAGGUAUGACUUCAUGAUUGGGGUG
rnacentral:rRNA from 1 species